UGACAAAAGCAUUAUGAAAUGCUGAAUUUUUUAGUGAAAUGAAUAUUCUAUCAAAAGCUUAAGUUAAAGAGGCUAUGAUAAUUAGUUCACACAAAUAGUUCUUCAUACAGAUGGCACAAAAUACAAUUUUAAGGAGGUUGGUAGUUUUCAAGUAACAAUAUCAUCUGGUAGCUACACAUUAGGGAUAGAAGAUAUGUUUUUGGGCGAGGCACAUUCUUAUUUUGGUGAGCUAAAAAAUUUACUCACUGAUAUGGAUCAGUUAUUUUCUCCUGAAAAUGACAGCUACAAGAAUGAUCUUAAAAAGCUUAUUUUUUCCUUCAAAUCUUUGAUGACAGAUUGCACUGUUGCUAAUUUUAGUUUUUUUCACCAAUUUAAACAUUGGAGAGAAACAAUUUUGCCUUUUGUUGUUGAAAACUAUGAUCAGUUUUCUUUAAAUGAAAAAAUAAAAAAAAAUUUAAAUACAUCAUGUUUUUUGUGGUUUACAUGUUAUCCACAAUAUAGGGGUAUAUGCUGAAAAAGCAAUCAGGGAAUGGGAAAAAGUGGUUGAGGAGGAAGGCGGAAUUCGGUUUUGGUUUGGAGAAUGGUGGUUUUAAAAAUUCUCCAAACUCACAUACCUUUGACAUUUUGUAUGAACUUUCAAAACUUACAAGCUAUAAACAUCGUGAUCACCGUAAAAGGUUUUUAAAAAACUACAUUGUUUCAUUCCUGCAUCAUUUUUCAGGAUGAUCAUUAAUGUUGGUUAGAAACGGUAAAAAGCUGAGGAUAGAAGUUCACCUUCUUAGUUAAGUAUUGACACUAGAAUGAAUUUGCAGCGUUUAGUGCCACAGGUUAUCUGUGUUUUGUAAUUCUGAUGUUAUUGUUGUGAUGUUUUGUGUUGAUAGACAACUUGGCUUACCUUCUCGCUGGUGUCUAUCGUUAAAAAUGAUUAUUAGGUUGUUUUGUUACUUAAACUCUCUACCUCUAAUCAUUCACUAAAAGCCAAGAGAUAAGUUUUAGAAUAACAACAUUUUUUGUUUUAAUGUUGUUUUCACUUUUUUAUCUUAGAUGUUGUCAAUAGUUCACAUAAACAUCAUUUCAAAGAGUUGAGUUUCUGCUGUUACACCUGCUAUUGCUGUUGUAAGUACUCAAAGUUUUAGGAAGUUAUAUUGCUCUUGCUAAAGGUUAGGCAUAAGUAUUUAUUUAUUGCUCAAAAGAGUUUUUAACUUUAUCCAGAGUUGUUUGUUGCUUGGCCUUAGUUAAAUCACUCAUAUUGAGUAAUAACUUUAAGAUUUAGAGUUGACUCAAAAUGGAAAA
rnacentral:lncRNA from 1 species